rnacentral:lncRNA from 1 species
CUUUCUUUGCUACCAGUUGACAUUUUGUUCUAAAAUACCACUGGGGAAUUUAGAUUGCCAGUGGAACUAGGUCAACUCAAUGAAAGCUAAUUUAUUGAAUGGCUAAUUGCCAAUUCACCAAAAGUUUCUUUGCUGAAAAUAAAUUUGCUGAAUCAUUAAAUAACUUACUAACCAAUGCACUGAAUACCAUCAACUGUGUUUUGGAUGACUGGCUGCAGACGUUGUGCUAUCAGAGCAAGAAGCACCUGGAGAGGAGACUCAAAAGUAAAGGGAAGACUGUGCAUGAAAGGCAGAGAUACAACUUACAGCACUGCCUCGUGGCCUCUGUGACUGAAUCAGAUGUUGAAUCACUGCGGAAAUACCCCAGGUAUGUUAUAGUUUGAACGAAGCCACUCACGUAUCCAUCUAAUUUCCGGAAGAUCUUGAUUGUGAAGGACUGUUUGUAGAUCCCAUCAGAGGAGCCCAGGAAAGGAAGGCUGGCAUCUUUAAAUUCCGUAAUACUAAGUCCAAGACACUUUUUCUACCUCUACGC